rnacentral:rRNA from 1 species
UCUGGCGGCGUGCUUAACACAUGCAAGUCGAACGGAAAGGCCCUGCUUUUGUGGGGUGCUCGAGUGGCGAACGGGUGAGUAACACGUGAGUAACCUGCCCUUGACUUUGGGAUAACUUCAGGAAACUGGGGCUAAUACCGGAUAGGAGCUCCUGCUGCAUGGUGGGGGUUGGAAAGUUUCGGCGGUUGGGGAUGGACUCGCGGCUUAUCAGCUUGUUGGUGGGGUAGUGGCUUACCAAGGCUUUGACGGGUAGCCGGCCUGAGAGGGUGACCGGCCACAUUGGGACUGAGAUACGGCCCAGACUCCUACGGGAGGCAGCAGUGGGGAAUAUUGCACAAUGGGCGGAAGCCUGAUGCAGCAACGCCGCGUGCGGGAUGACGGCCUUCGGGUUGUAAACCGCUUUCGCCUGUGACGAAGCGUGAGUGACGGUAAUGGGUAAAGAAGCACCGGCUAACUACGUGCCAGCAGCCGCGGUGAUACGUAGGGUGCGAGCGUUGUCCGGAUUUAUUGGGCGUAAAGGGCUCGUAGGUGGUUGAUCGCGUCGGAAGUGUAAUCUUGGGGCUUAACCCUGAGCGUGCUUUCGAUACGGGUUGACUUGAGGAAGGUAGGGGAGAAUGGAAUUCCUGGUGGAGCGGUGGAAUGCGCAGAUAUCAGGAGGAACACCAGUGGCGAAGGCGGUUCUCUGGGCCUUUCCUGACGCUGAGGAGCGAAAGCGUGGGGAGCGAACAGGCUUAGAUACCCUGGUAGUCCACGCUGUAAACGGUGGGUACUAGGUGUGGGGUCCAUUCCACGGGUUCCGUGCCGUAGCUAACGCUUUAAGUACCCCGCCUGGGGAGUACGGCCGCAAGGCUAAAACUCAAAGGAAUUGACGGGGCCCCGCACAAGCGGCGGAGCAUGCGGAUUAAUUCGAUGCAACGCGUAGAACCUUACCUGGGUUUGACAUGGAUCGGGAGUGCUCAGAGAUGGGUGUGCCUCUUUUGGGGUCGGUUCACAGGUGGUGCAUGGCUGUCGUCAGCUCGUGUCGUGAGAUGUUGGGUUAAGUCCCGCAACGAGCGCAACCCUUGUUCACUGUUGCCAGCACGUUAUGGUGGGGACUCAGUGGAGACCGCCGGGGUCAACUCGGAGGAAGGUGGGGAUGACGUCAAGUCAUCAUGCCCCUUAUGUCCAGGGCUUCACGCAUGCUACAAUGGCUGGUACAGAGAGUGGCGAGCCUGUGAGGGUGAGCGAAUCUCGGAAAGCCGGUCUCAGUUCGGAUUGGGGUCUGCAACUCGACCUCAUGAAGUCGGAGUCGCUAGUAAUCGCAGAUCAGCAACGCUGCGGUGAAUACGUUCCCGGGGCUUGUACACACCGCCCGUCAAGUCAUGAAAGUUGGUAACACCCGAAGCCGGUGGCCUAACCGUUGUGGGGGAGCCGUCGAAGGUGGGACUGGUGAUUAG